rnacentral:rRNA from 1 species
UAAUACGUAGGGUGCGAGCGUUGUCCGGAAUUACUGGGCGUAAAGAGCUCGUAGGUGGUUUGUCGCGUCGUCUGUGAAAUUCCGGGGCUUAACUCCGGGCGUGCAGGCGAUACGGGCAUAACUUGAGUACUGUAGGGGAGACUGGAGUUCCUGGUGUAGCGGUGAAAUGCGCAGAUAUCAGGAGGAACACCGAUGGCGAAGGCAGGUCUCUGGGCAGUUACUGACGCUGAGGAGCGAAAGCAUGGGUAGCGAACAGGAUUAGAUACCCUGGUAGUCCAUGCCGUAAACGGUGGGCGCUAGGUGUGGGGGUCUUCCACGACUUCCGUGCCGUAGCUAACGCAUUAAGCGCCCCGCCUGGGGAGUACGGCCGCAAGGCUA